rnacentral:misc_RNA from 1 species
CUGAAGAAAUGGUAGUGUUGAGCUGACUCUUCGGAGUAAUGUGCUCGCUCUAUCGCUUUUUCUACUCUCCACUGUGCACCUAUUGUAGGCUAUGAUAACUCUCGAGUUUCCCGCAAGGGUUAUUAGGAUGGAAAGCUAGUUCACUUGCUUGCUUUCAACCUUUGUAGCCUAUGUCUAUACAAACUCUACAGUUUUAUGAAUGUGUAUCAUUGGUCUUUGACCGAUAAAUCAAUAUA